AGAGUUUGAUCAUGGCUCAGAUUGAACGCUGGCGGCAUGCCUUACACAUGCAAGUCGAACGGCAGCACGGGAGCAAUCCUGGUGGCGAGUGGCGAACGGGUGAGUAAUAUAUCGGAACGUGCCCAGUCGUGGGGGAUAACGCAGCGAAAGCUGUGCUAAUACCGCAUACGAUCUACGGAUGAAGGCGGGGGAUCGCAAGACCUCGCGCGAUUGGAGCGGCCGAUAUCAGAUUAGGUUGUUGGUGGGGUAAAAGCCCACCAAGCCGACGAUCUGUAGCUGGUCUGAGAGGACGACCAGCCACACUGGAACUGAGACACGGUCCAGACUCCUACGGGAGGCAGCAGUGGGGAAUUUUGGACAAUGGGCGCAAGCCUGAUCCAGCAAUGCCGCGUGCAGGAUGAAGGCCUUCGGGUUGUAAACUGCUUUUGUACGGAACGAAACGGUCUGCUCUAAUACAGCGGGCUAAUGACGGUACCGUAAGAAUAAGCACCGGCUAACUACGUGCCAGCAGCCGCGGUAAUACGUAGGGUGCGAGCGUUAAUCGGAAUUACUGGGCGUAAAGCGUGCGCAGGCGGUUAUAUAAGACAGAUGUGAAAUCCCCGGGCUCAACCUGGGACCUGCAUUUGUGACUGUAUAGCUAGAGUGCGGCAGAGGGGGAUGGAAUUCCGCGUGUAGCAGUGAAAUGCGUAGAUAUGCGGAGGAACACCGAUGGCGAAAGCAAUCCCCUGGGCCUGCACUGACGCUCAUGCACGAAAGCGUGGGGAGCAAACAGGAUUAGAUACCCUGGUAGUCCACGCCCUAAACGAUGUCAGCUGGUUGUUGGGUCUUCACUGACUCAGUAACGAAGCUAACGCGUGAAGUUGACCGCCUGGGGAGUACGGCCGCAAGGUUGAAACUCAAAGGAUUGACGGG
rnacentral:rRNA from 1 species